rnacentral:rRNA from 1 species
UACGUAGGGUGCGAGCGUUGUCCGGAAUUAUUGGGCGUAAAGAGCUUGUAGGCGGUUUGUCGCGUCUGCCGUGAAAAUCCGAGGCUCAACCUCGGACUUGCGGUGGGUACGGGCAGACUAGAGUGUGGUAGGGGAGACUGGAAUUCCUGGUGUAGCGGUGAAAUGCGUAGAUGUCAGGAGGAACGCCGGAGGCGAAAGCGAGUGACUGGCGCGUUCCUGACGCUGAGGUGCGAAAGCUAGGGGAGCAAACAGG